UGUCUGGCAAAUUUCCAACAUAUAUUAUCAACUACUAUUCUAUACAAAGAAAGAUAACUCCAAUUGAAAAUUAAGUACAUUUUUAGAUUCAGCAUAUCAAAGAACCUAACUGAUUCAUUUUUUGUCAAAAUCAAACUAAGUUUAAUUUUGGACCCUUUGGACCUUAAUGUAGACCAAUUUGAAAACGGGACCAAAAGUUAAGAAUCUACAUACACAGUCAUGACAGUUAGAUUCGGCAUAUCAAACAACCCCAAUUAUUCAAUUUUGAUGAAAUCAAACAAAGUUUAAUUUUGGACCCUUUGGGCCCCUUAUUCUGUUGGGACCAAAACUCCCAAAAUCAAUACCAACCUUCCUUUUAUGGUCAUAAACCUUGUGUUUAAAUUUCAUAGAUUUCUAUUUACUUAUACUAAAGUUAUGGUGCGAAAACCAAGAAAAAUGCUUAUUUGGGUCCCUUUUUGGCCCCUAAUUCCUAAACUGUUGGGACCUAAACUCCCAAAAUCAAUACCAACCUUCCUUUUGUAGUCAUUAACAUUGUGUUUAAAUUUCAUUGAUUUUUAUUUACUUAAACUAAAGUUAUUGUGCGAAAACCAAGAAUAAUGCUUAUUUGGGCCCUUUUUUGGCCCCUAAUUCCUAAACUGUUGAAACCUAAACUCCCAAAAUCAAUCCCAACCGUUCUUUUGUGGUCAUAAACCUUGUGUCAAAAUUUCAUAGAUUUCUAUUAACUUAAACUAAAGUUAUA
rnacentral:lncRNA from 1 species